rnacentral:lncRNA from 1 species
AUACAUGGCAUAUAUAAUUAAACAUAUAAAUCAAAUUCAAAACAAAAACUCUCCUUGAAUAUUUCAAAAUUAUGCACAAAUACUUUAAGAUCAAAAUACAUAUUAUAUGUCUUCAUAUUCAAAAUACAUGACUUCUCCCCCUUCAUCAUCAAAAUUACUAGAAAUUCAUGCGAAGAUUGAUAAUAUGUCAAUGGUUAAUCAAGAAACAUAUAAUAACCAAACAUCCAAUUAACCAUAAAAUGAUCAUGAACCAUCAUGCCAUCAAAAGAAUGCUCAUAAUGCAUAUUAUCCAAAAUCAUAUUGUAUGCGCCCCCUAAAUAUAUGGCCAAUUAAAAAAUUUAACCAAAAUGAUAUUAUCCAAAAACAUAUCAUAUUUAUCUCCCCCUUCAUAAAAAAAAUAGAUAGAUGCAAUCGAAAC